UCCUUUUUUUUCCCCCCCCCCCCCCCCCGCCCCUUUUUGUUUUCUUUCAUUUGAACUACCCAUAGGCAGUGGUUCCAAUAGCAGACUUUUAAAGAAUGGGUUGUUGGUGUGGGUUGGGGUUGAUCUGGUCAAAGAUGUGGUUGUUUUGCUUUUUCUUCCUGGCCUGGUUACCAGCCCAGAGGACAGAGCAGCAGUAGCAGCAUGAAGCAGUAGCUGAUUCCAGGGCCAUUAAGAUUCUGGUGGCAUUAGGAUAUCUGCCUUGUUUUUUGUUUUUUUUUUUUCCAUGAGAAAAUGUAAUGCAAGUUAAGCAAAAUCUGAAUACAGUCUUUUUUUUGUUUUGUCCAAAACCUGAGGCAAUUAGAAAAAGAACAGAGAUUGUCAGGCAUUUAAACCCUCCAGCUCUCACAGCAUGGAGUGUGACAAGGCUGAACUGAAAGCAAAUUUCUCUUCCCUGAGAUCAGACAGACAACAAAUGGCUAAACAAAUGGCCAAGCUGAUACUUGCUGCUGAAUUUCUUCAGGUUAAACUCAGCUUUGCUGGAAUCAAGAUCAAUAUGCAAGAAAGCACAUUUGCAAGCGCUGAGAGUCAUGAAGAUCCUUGUCUUGGCACAAAGUGACCUCCCAGACAUGCCAUGUGCUGCUGUGCAGACUUGCAGACCUCCAAGCACACUCAGGUGGGCUGGGCAUGUGGCAGUCAGAGCAGAAAACAAGUAGAAGACUGCUCAGAAAUGCAGCACAUGGACACAGAGAACCAUGAUUAAUUACAGUUGCUACUGGAAUCAGCAAGCCUAAAAGAAAGCUUUUUGUGGUAGAUCAACCAUGUGAAAAACACUGUAUGUUUCUUCCAUGGAUACAGGAAACAUAUACUAACUAGUAAAGCUGAGGAGAAUAAAAUGUAGAAUAUUAUGUUUGGGUUUCUUUCUUAACAUGUCAAGUCAAUGCUAACAAGAAGAGAGUUUACUCAAAAUAAUAAAGCUAAUCCAAACUGCGCUUAAAAGCAGUAACAUGGUAACAUUGUACAGAGUGCCAUCUGUUACUAUCAGGAUAGGAAGUAAGAUGCAAAGGUUAAAAUGUUUUUAUUCCUGGAAUAUGGGUAUUCCGGGUCAACAGGAAAAAGAAUAUUUGCCUAUUACAAAAACUGUUUUCCCAUGACCUUUACGUUGAAUGGCCCAACUCAGUGGUAUCAACCUUAAUUUGACAAGAAUUAAGGGCUCAGACAUACCGUCAAGUUAUGUAAUUUUACAAGUUGCUGCCUGUCAGCUGCACUGCAGUGGCUAUCUGUGUGUGUCUGUGUGUGUGCCCUUGAUCCAUGGAAAAGGCAAGCCAAUGUAAGGCCAUGUGGCUCACUUUGAAAUUCCUCCGUUUAAAAAAAAAAAAAAAAAAAAAAAAAAAAAAAAAAAAAAGAAGACGAAGUAAAGAUGUUUAUAUUCAUGUAAAAGUAAGAAGGCAGUAUGUUUACCUAUUCCCAAAUAAGCAAAAGGAUGUAUUCUAUAUCCUUAUAUAUUAUAUAGACAAUUCAGAUACUACAUGUACAUGAUCUGUAUAUAUAGAUUAAAUAUGUAUAUUUUAUAUACUACUGAGCAUCAACAUAAAUGGAAAGCAAGUUUCUCUGAAUAUAUCUUUGAGUCUUUACAAAGCAGCAGAUUGGCUCCCUUCUCCUGAUCUUUCAAGUAGGAGGUAAGAAACUUUAUUAAACAUUACUGUUGGAGACUGUGGUAAACACUGGGGACAAAGUCUCCCAACAUCUGUAAAAAGACAGCCUUUUGCAUGCACGGCCUACACCCAAAAGUUCAUCAUGUCAAACCACAUUUUUCAAAUGUGCUCCAAGUGCUGACUAUAAUUUUGUUCUUUUAGUUUGUUUUAUUUUGCUGGGUUUGUUAUUUUUUUAAUAAAUGUACCAAAAAGCCCUAGGGGAGAAAAUGACUAUUCAAGUAUUUAUCCAUUGUUUGGAAAUUCUGAGAAAUAUGCUUAUAAAUUAAAAUCUUUGAAAUUUGAUUUAUUCAUUUCCAAGACCAUUUCUCUUGCACUGUGUAUUUUCACGAACUCCAGCUGCUGACAGCCUUUUAUGUUUAAAAUAGUAGAACAAUUGCACUGUGUAUGUGAAUUUAAAAUAUAUGUGAACUCCACAGUACUGGAUACACACCACAAUGUCUGUAAGGCAUAGUCAACCUCUGCUAUACAUUUUUCUUUUAGCAAUUCAGAGAUGUGAAAUCUUGGUAUUACCACGGUGAUCUAAAUCGAGCCACUGUACAGGCACAAAAGUAACAUUGUUUCAUACACAAAACUUCCAACUUCAAGAAUUGUCUAGUCAUGUGAAUAUAAAAGCCCAUGAGAGUAACAGCUCAGACCACUGCUACCCUCAAAUAACCUGAAAACACCCAAGAGUAAGCAAAAAAAUACUCAGAGGAAGUGGGAUGAAAUCCUGUCACCACUGAACUACACAUUCUACCCUCCAACAUAACUGGUUAUUAAUAAGAAAAGACAGAUCUCUCCUCCAUAACCUGGAAACACCCAGUGUGAUCUGAUGGCACCAAGUCUGUCUUGCUGUUGAUGACUGUGGUGGUGUCAACAAUUUCCUUUCUGACUUUUGCUUCUAGAAGCCAACUUUACAUCGCUGACAGUUGAGGGUGGGCAACACCUAUUUUCUUGAAAAUUUAACUUCUUUUUUAGGUGUUUUCACGUGUUAAAAAAAUGUCCCAUAAAGCUUAUGUCAGAACAUAUGAGAUUGCUAGAUACAGCAGAAAAUCUAUUUUCUUACAUCACCUCUAACUUGUACUUUUAACCACAUUCUUCGCAAUAUAUGUUCUGUGAAACAGAACACACUAUUUUAGGCUGUUCUCUUGUUCAAAUCCAACUCUAGAAUUUAUCCAUCCCACACAGGCUAUGAAAGCUGUUUCAUCUUUUCAACAGAAAAUGAAAGCAUGAAGUAUCUUUUUGUAUUUUUGUACUUGGUAUUCUGUAUAUGCAGCCCUAUUUAAUCUUUAGGACUAUCCAGUUAGAAAACAAAAACAUCCCUGUGCAGAAUUUGAGUCAGUUUGGUCUGUUUAUGACAGUUUCUGCUCUAUUCAGUCUCUGUAUACACUCUGUUACUCUCAGUCCCAAAACACAUAGACAGGACACUGCCCACAUAAGCCGAGGUGGAGUAUGCAUUGCUGAAAUGCAAACCAUGUUCAUGGGAGCAACUACUGCCAUCACCCGUUUGCUAAGGGAGGAGAUGGGGACCAUGAGCCCUUCAGAAUCUACCUGUAUAUUCACAGUUAAAUGACAAUGGCACGCAUGUAAACAGAAGAGUAAGCAUGUCUGAAGGUUGUCUCUUUAGCCAAUAAAGAAUAACCCACUUUCAUUAAUCAAAAGUGUAAUUGAAGAUUGUGAAUCCCAUGCAUACAGGUUACAGAUCUGUGACAAAAGGUUCAAACAAGCUCUUAAAGCUGCUGUGUAACAAGGUUGGAUUGGUGCAUAGAUUGGUUUUCAGUAGAUUGAAAUGCUAGUGUGGAAAGCUCUGUCCUGUGACCAUGACUGAGGGCUGGUAGAGCAGCUAAGCCUGCCCCUAGGCAGGGAACAUAACAGGCUCUUCCAUAUCUAUCUUCUAUGUAGUUAUUUGUAGAAAUCCCAGUAAAGCAAAAAAUUACAUGUAAAUCAGUCAUAAAAGAGUUUUUGUCCCUCUCUGAUUCCACAAGAAGUAAUUUCUAACACUUUACUUUCUAUCCCAAAUAUUUCCCUCAUCCUGGUUCAGCUGUGGUAACACCCAGUGAGUAAAGCAAAAGAUUUCAUAAUGAUUGCAAGCCUGUGCCCUAAGUUUGUUGACACAAAUUUACAUGAGCAUCACUAUGCAAUAUAUAUUGCACAUGUCUAUGCAAUACACUUUCAAGAACUAUGGCUUUUGUCCUUGCUUUAAAAAUGCUUUGUAAAGGUAACAGUACUCAAGCUACAUCACUUCUGUUUGCAAGCUGUUCUGUCAGCAGAAUAACAGAGUAUACUGUGAUACAAUUAAUUCAUAAAGUUUCUAAAGCUUUAGAAAAUAGUGAUUUUAUAUUAAAAAACAAAUAUAUGAAUAGGUGAUACAUUAAGAAAAAUAUUGAAUUGAAUAUGAAAUUCGGUGCAGGAAUAAUUUCCGUAUUUUGGUCAAAAAGCAGCUUCUUGAAUUGGCCAAAUAACUUAUCUUGUCCAGAGAGCUAGAUGUUUCAGCAGCUACCAGAAAAUUCAAUAAAGUUUUAGUGCCUUUCCAUUGUUGCCUCCUGACCUAAAAUUAAAAUCUGAAAUAACUGAGAAAGGAAAAUGAAAUCUUGACAGUUAGAAACAUCUUCACUCUUCAAACUCUCUAUAAUGUACUAAUAUUUUUUGUUACUAAAUAUGAAAAAUAGAAAUGCUAAGGAAAUUCUUCCAAGUAUUAGAAAUCCCAUGCAGAAAGAGCCUAGUUAUUAGAUGUGAUCAACAAAAAAUCAGUACUCAAAAGAGAUCUGGAAAUACAUAUGUGUGUGCAAGCAUGUUCAACACUGGACUAUUUAUUACAUUAAAAUUUAAAAAGGUUAUUUACAAAUUGAGAGAAUAUAUGAGAAAUAAAAUACAGAAGACUCACAACUUUCAGAUUGCAGAUAAUUCAGGGUAAUCUAAAAAUCAAUACACAUAAAAUAUUGAUGCCAUUGUAUUUUGGUAUCCAUUUUGAAAAGUGACAAAGGGACAAGGCCUAAGUAUGCAAAAAUUAAGCUGUAAAAUCUGUUAUUUUAAAAUACAAAUCUAUCUGGGAAGCUAAAGGCCUCUAUUAGGUCACAUACUUCCUAUACAGUGUGAAGAAAAGGUUAAAUACAGAAGAGAAUCUGAAAUAUCUGUCAUAUGAGUAACACAGUUCCUUAUGUCAUCAUGCUCAGCCUAUAGAUACAGAAACCUAGAGAAGGAUAAUGUACUUUGCUCUUCCCAUAAAUUACUCAGAGGCAGAGAGGAGCCUCCACUUCUCUUAAAACUCUAUGGGGAAAAAGAAUCUAUGAUCUUAUUUUAAAAUUAAAUUAAGAGACAAAUCAGAAGCAUGGCUUUAUAAUGCCUUUCAGAUGCAACUUUUGAAAGAGGAGGUAAUGGAGUUUCUGCCUGCUGAGAAAGCUUAAGAGCUCUUUGCCAAAAUGUAUGAAAUGAAGACUCUCCUACCACCUUCAUGGAGAUUGUUUUAGCCACUAGGCUAGAAGCUGAGCUAGGUAAAAUCUUAUUUCUCCUCUCCAGUUGAAUUUGCCCAGUUAUAAAGCUUUGGCAGAAGGAGUAAGGGCCCCUCUUUGCACAGCCGACAGUCACGGGAUAUGUAGACUGGAACAAAAUUAAAUAAACUAGACUUAGGCUUGCUCAGCACGUAUAUUUUUCCUGUUUACAAUUAUGUUUAAAUAUCACUAAGUUACCUUAAAUUCUCCACACAAGGCACAUGUUGGGGAGAGAAAUAAGUCUGCACUAGGGAAAACAAAAAGUAUGUUUAUGUAAUUAAGACAGUUUCAUAAUACACUCUGCUGAGCUGAGUUACAAUUCUGAAUUAAGGUUAAGAGUUGCAUAACCAAUGCUACUAGUAUUUUUCAAGUUUUUAACUUUGCAAUUCCAAGAUCUUUUAAACCCACUUUUUUUAGGGGGCUAAGUAACACGAAAUACAUGGAAUUAAAUAUAAAUUUUCAGAAUUCUUGUAACAUAGAGGUUAACACCUUUAGAAGUUGGCCAUGCAUCCCCAGCUUGUUGUAUUACUGCAGAAAUCAUAAAUGGUGUUAUUUACUGCAAAGAAAUUACCUACAGUGCAUCACUGCGCAUGCACAUGCAAACUGUAUUACAAAUGAAAAAGCUGUAGCUUUCACAUCAGAAAGCAGUUAUUAAUUCACCACUUAAAGCUGUGGGGAUAAAGUCAAGUUAUACAGAACAAAAAGCUGCUACGUACCAGAUCCUUGCUUUAUUACAUUACUUAAUCUGAAACAUAAUAUCUUCCCUCCUUAACAGAAGUCAGUAGGAAGUAGCCAUAGAAUACAGAAGACAUUCUGAAAGGUUAUCUUUGAAAAGUCAAGCUCUGCAAGUGAGAUUCAUCUGACCAAAGCAAAGAUCUGCUUUGCAGGGAAUCACCUGAAUUUUCUCUACAGGGGAUGGGGAGGGCUGGAGGAGUGUGUGGGUACGAGAAAGGCUCUUUUAGGGUGUAAUUAGUCUGAUUUGUUUUAAACACCACCCUUGAUCUCUACAUUGAGUAUAGAGUGAACUUCAGAUCACCAGCUCAGAGAUGUCGUCAUUGUACAUACUCACAGUCAAGAACGUGGCAUCCUAGUCUAGUUUUGUCAAGAAUCAGUGAAGGGUUUUGAGGGCCUUUGACUUCCUCUGUUUCAGUUUGUUAACAGAUAUUAAACAUUUUUAUACCUCUUCCAUUGUAAAGAUAAAAGUCAGUCACAACUGCAAAAUCUGCAACAAUUUUACAGUAGCAGAACACCAGAAAAGUCCAGCAUUACUUAAUAUCUCACAUUCUGCAUGGAAUAUAAAAGAGUGUGUAGGAAAUAAAGUGAGACUUACGGAAUUUUAGGUUUUGCCUAUCCUGUGCUUUAAAUGAACAAAGGCCUAGUGGGAAAUAAUAUGCAACUAUGUAAAUACAACCUGUAUUAGAGUAACUAUAUAUGAGGGAAUCUCAUGGUUGCAGGCCUCAAUUCUGGCAUAUUCUAACUUUAGCAAGUUCUCUUAGAAUGUGGGCUUUGGUUUGUAAGAGACAUUUUAUCAAAAGUAAAAAAGAUAUUUUUCUAAAUUUUUUAUUUGCAUUUUUACUUAUAUAGCAGGAGUGAAAAAAUUACACUAAAAAGUAAUUUUCCUCUUUAAAAUUAAUUAAACAGAAAAAAUAGUAAGAGCAGGUUUUAGGGAGAUAAACACAAUUAUUGACUAUUGAAAUGCAGUUCUCAUCUAAUCUGAUAUUGGCAUCUAGAUGAAAUUCAUAACUAUAGAAGUCUGAAGACAAAGCCAGAUCCAGCUAGUCACCUUAGGCUCUCUCUCUAAACAAAGCCAGGAACAGAAUCUCCUGAGAGCACUUAUUCUGAAAAGGCCUGAAAGACUGCUUAGUGUUAGUCACUGAAGCUUACCUUAUCUGGCUUGCCUGAGCUCUUGAGGUACCUAACUGGGAGCUUGGGCUGGCAGCUUCAGUGCCAAGCAUUAACUUUUAAAUGCCCAAAUUAGGGUGCACUAAUUUUAUGUUAAAUUUCCACAUGCAGACAGGGCAACUACAAAUCACAUCCAGUAAUAUGCACAUAGAAUCAUACCACUGGACUGAAAUGAAACUUUACUAAAACUGGUGGACACAACCCUUUAGUUAGAAAAGCUCUGACAAAGAGCUCAUGCUUUUAGGAAAUAGUCACGGACUAUACCUCAAAGGCACAUGUCACUGCCCAAAAUAACAAGUGAGAUUAUUUUAUGAUCUCUGUAAAAGAGGAGUUUGGCAGUACACUGCUUUAGCACAAGUGAACCAGUAAGAGUGAGAAUGUGUGAGGUCUAUCACCCAAAAAAAUUAAAGGUGAGCAAAGUAGAGGACAAUAAUUUGAAGGAUCCAAGUGAUCUGUAGGAGCAUUAUGCCCUUCUAUAAGGCUGCUCCAAGCUCAUGAGGUGUAGAGCUUUAUAUGAGGUUUAUAAUGAGUCAUUAUUGCUAAAGUCCUCAGCACCCAACUCUUGUUAUAAGGCUAUUGCAUUUUUUCCUAUUUCCAAUACAUUCCAGUCCUCCAGGCAAUUCCAGUCCUCUGGUGUGGUAUUUCAGUGUUCUUUUGCUUGACAAUGAUUUUCUCAAUAGAGAGUUGGCAGUAUGGAAAGUUUGAGCCUAGAUGGAUUCCAUGUUUUCUUCUGUAUUUUCUUAAAAACAAGAAAUUUAAGUGUAACACAGCCAAAGAAUUUUGUAGCUGAGCAACUUAGAAUCAUUGAAUCCUUAGAAGUUGAGAAGGACCUUCAAGAUCAUCAAGUCAAAUAGUACCUACCAGCACCAAGUAGAAUAAAAGCUCCAACACACUACUGUACACUUGUUUAGUAGUAUUUUAUAUUCACAUGCCAGUCACAGCUUGGACUCUGUACCCAAAGUCACAGCAGUCAGCAUGGAUUUAUACCAGAGGUACCAAAACUCAGUGCUUCUGAAGUUGUGCUAAUGUAAACAUUCCCUUUGUGAUUAUGAGAGAUAAAUUUGAAACAGUAUUUUCAGUCUGAAUGCAGUUUAAAAGCAUGUUAUUAAAUUAAUAUAUUUUAAACAGUCUAACGCUUCUGUAAUUAGAAAUUGUCUAAAAAAUACUGAAAAGCUGUAACAUUUACUUUUUUUCAGAUUGCCCCUAAAAACAAUAAAGUAAAAGUUAACUGAAA